GUCCACGCCGUAAACGAUGGAUACUAGCUGUUCGGAGUAAUCUGAGUGGCUAAGCGAAAGUGAUAAGUAUCCCACCUGGGGAGUACGUUCGCAAGAAUGAAACUCAAAGGAAUUGACGGGGCCCGCACAAGCGGUGGAGCAUGUGGUUUAAUUCGAUGAUACGCGAGGAACCUUACCAAGGCUUAAAUGGGAAACGACAGGUUUGGAAACAGACUUUUCUUCGGACGUUUUUCAAGGUGCUACAUGGUUGUCGU
rnacentral:rRNA from 1 species